rnacentral:rRNA from 1 species
UACGUAGGGUGCGAGCGUUAAUCGGAAUUACUGGGCGUAAAGCGUGCGCAGGCGGCUUCGCCAGUCAGACGUGAAAUCCCCGGGCUUAACCUGGGAAUGGCGUUUGAAACUACGGAGCUGGAGUGUGGCAGAGGGAGGUAGAAUUCCACGUGUAGCGGUGAAAUGCGUAGAUAUGUGGAGGAAUACCGAUGGCGAAGGCAGCCUCCUGGGCCAACACUGACGCUCAUGCACGAAAGCGUGGGGAGCAAACAGG